GGAGACAGGAGUAUAGAGGUGUAUUUAACAUGGAGACAGGAGUAUAGAGGUGUAUUUAACAUGGAGACAGGAGUAUAGAGGUGUAUUUAAUAUGGAGACAGGAGUAUAGAGGUGUAUUUAAUAUGGAGACAGGAGUAUAGAGGUGUAUUUAACAUGGAGACAGGAGUAUAGAGGUGUAUUUAACAUGGAGACAGGAGUAUAGAGGUGUAUUUAAUAUGGAGACAGGAGUAUAGAGGUGUAUUUAAUAUGGAGACAGGAGUAUAGAGGUGUAUUUAACAUGGAGACAGGAGUAUAGAGGUGUAUUUAACAUGGAGACAGGAGUAUAGAGGUGUAUUUAACAUGGAGACAGGAGUAUAGAGGUGUAUUUAACAUGGAGACAGGAGUAUAGAGGUGUAUUUAACAUGGAGACAGGAGUAUAGAGGUGUAUUUAACAUGGAGACAGGAGUAUAGAGGUGUAUUUAACAUGGAGACAGGAGUAUAGAGGUGUAUUUAACAUGGAGACAGGAGUAUAGAGGUGUAUUUAACAUGGAGACAGGAGUAUAGAGGUGUAUUUAACAUGGAGACAGGAGUAUAGAGGUGUAUUUAACAUGGAGACAGGAGUAUAGAGGUGUAUUUAACAUGGAGACAGGAGUAUAGAGGUGUAUUUAACAUGGAGACAGGAGUAUAGAGGUGUAUUUAACAUGGAGACAGGAGUAUAGAGGUGUAUUUAACAUGGAGACAGGAGUAUAGAGGUGUAUUUAACAUGGAGACAGGAGUAUAGAGGUGUAUUUAACAUGGAGACAGGAGUAUAGAGGUGUAUUUAACAUGGAGACAGGAGUAUAGAGGUGUAUUUAACAUGGAGACAGGAGUAUAGAGGUGUAUUUAAUAUGGAGACAGGAGUAUAGAGGUGUAUUUAACAUGGAGACAGGAGUAUAGAGGUGUAUUUAACAUGGAGACAGGAGUAUAGAGGUGUAUUUAACAUGGAGACAGGAGUAUAGAGGUGUAUUUAACAUGGAGACAGGAGUAUAGAGGUGUAUUUAACAUGGAGACAGGAGUAUAGAGGUGUAUUUAACAUGGAGACAGGAGUAUAGAGGUGUAUUUAACAUGGAGACAG